rnacentral:rRNA from 1 species
AUUGAACGCUGGCGGCAUGCCUUACGCAUGCAAGUCGAACGGUAACGGGCCUUCGGGUGCCGACGAGUGGCGCACGGGUGAGUAAUACAUCGGAACGUGCCCGAUCGUGGGGGAUAACGAGGCGAAAGCUUUGCUAAUACCGCAUACGAUCUACGGUUGAAAGCAGGGGACCGCAAGGCCUUGCGCGGACGGAGCGGCCGAUGGCAGAUUAGGUAGUUGGUGGGAUAAAAGCUUACCAAGCCGACGAUCUGUAGCUGGUCUGAGAGGAUGAUCAGCCACACUGGGACUGAGACACGGCCCAGACUCCUACGGGAGGCAGCAGUGGGGAAUUUUGGACAAUGGGCGCAAGCCUGAUCCAGCCAUGCCGCGUGCAGGAUGAAGGCCUUCGGGUUGUGAACUGCUUUUGUACGGAACGAAAAGCCUUCUUUUAAUACAGGAGGGUCAUGACGGUACCGUAAGAAUAAGCACCGGCUAACUACGUG